UUCAGAUAUGUCUCCUGUGCGAACCUAACAGGAUGCAAGAGGCCAUCUGAGCUGCACUUUUCAAACCCACAGGAACCCCUCCUCUACCAUGUCCUGAGAACAAAGCCUCCUCCAGUCAUGUUGAUAAGAUGGAUCUUGUUGUGCAGCCUUCUAGUAAGGCUGGCUCAGAGCAACAAUCAGGAUUCUGAAAAGUCUGCAAACAUCACCACACCUUCAGCAAAACUUUUAGAUGCCUCUACUAAGUCAAAAGAACAUGGAAAAAACAAGACAUUGCACAUUAUUUAUGCUUCAGUACCCGUGGGUCUGUGUUGUCCAUUCAUCUUCAUAUGCGUGUUUUGGAGUCUAAGGAGGUACUAUGGAAAUCAUAAGAGAACUCCAUCAACACCACAGAGACAAGAGAGCCAGGUCAGAAGUCCAUCAGCUUUUCCAUCCCAUGCUGCUGGGAGAACUCCAGCUACAGAUAGAAUCCCUACACAAGGAAGAAAAAUUGCCUACUGUACCAUCACUGUCACUAUCCCUGCUUGGGCCUGGCCACAGGAAUCCAAGAUAUCAUCAAGGACUCCUCAAGAGAGCUUGUACCCUUCCUACAGCAUACAGACCAUUGCAGACACUUGAAGUGGAGCAUGACAUGAGCAAAUCAGUAACAGGCUUCCUUAAGACUCACGAAAGAAAAAUGAAUCACGUCCCAAUUCACUUACUGUUAAGUGGGUAUCGGAUGAAUUCCAUCAUAAAGAGUGUAAUUUACCCCUUGAAUGUGAAGAAAAUCUUCCCCCACACACACAAAACAGGAACUCAGUGAUUUUCCUACGAGUUUCACCAGGGAGAAUCUUACUUCCUUUGGUCUGCUGCUAUAUGCUUAUUUUCUACAGUUCACAGGCCUCCUUUCCAACUGCAGCUAAGUACAUCUACUUGGAUAAACCAAAGCAUGUCUAAGAAGGAUAUCUGCUCACCUGAUCAAUAUGCUGGCUCUGAGUUUGAUCCAUUGAGCCUAGAUCCAGGACUGAAGAUCCUCAAUUCACAUUAAUUUGUGGACAUCCUUCUACAACAGUGAAUAAAAACUGAGAGUACAGUUACCAGAAGCUACUGCACAAAGUAUCUGCUUCCGCCUCUCAGACACAAGGGAGUGAAACUGUGCUGCGGUGUGGUGCCCAGGAGCCAUUUGAUACCUUAGAGCACAUCGCACAUGCAGAAAAGCUGCCAUGACCCCAUGCAAGAUUUGGGCUCUGCUGGCUGACACCUACUACUCUCCAGGAAACCAAGGCCGCCGGGCUUGACAUGGCCACAUGCAGCAGCACCUCUGUUGAUAACGGCAGGUAGAACUCUCUGGAAGACUCAAGAACUCUCAUUCAAUUACCCAACCCAGCACACAGCAUUGGUGCAACUCUGGACUUUCUUCAGGUUUACUCAAGGGUCAUGAAUCAACAACCAGAGCUGAGUACAGUGGGAAAGGUAUCAGAGCAGGGAACAGGUCAUGGGAUUACUGGGCCCUA